CCACCGUUACACUUUCGGGCCACAUUUACCCUUCCACCGUUAAAACUUGUUUCCUCAAUUUUUUUAAACACGUGGCAUUCUCUCAUUAGUUCAUAUUAACCCAUCCAUUGAAGUCUUGCCACCCGACCGAUCCGAAGCCAAAUAACCCGCCCCGACCCCUGGGUAUUUAUUUACUCAAUCCUUAAUUUCCAAUGGUUUUAGGUGGUCCAUGCUGUUCAAGGUAAAGUUCCAGUUCUUCUUGAUGGAGGAAUUAGGCGAGGAACAGACAUAUUCAAGGCCUUAGCACUAGGCGCAAAAGCUGUUCUGGUAAACUUAAUGAUUUGAAUAAAUGGAUUUAACUUAUAUACACAGAGAUUGUAAAUAUGAUUACACUACCAGUGUAAUUUAACCUAAUUCAUAUUCGCGCAGAUUGGUCGACCGGUUGUCUACGGCCUGGCCACUAAGGGAGAGUCUGGGGUAAAGCAAGUCAUUGAAAUGCUGAAGAAUGAACUUGAGCUGACCAUGGCUCUUGCUGGCUGCUGCAAUGUGAAUGACAUUACCAGAAGCCAUAUUAAGACAGAGAAAGAAAGGUUCCUUUGUAGGAUGUAAUUUCCAUCCUCUGUUAUUUAAAUGAGUUUAAGUUCUAUGUACUGAUAAUGUAAAAAAAUAUUUAUACAUCAGGUCACUUAAAAGUAAUUGCAGGUAAGUCUAUUUAAGUAGCAUUGAUUGGUAACCUAUAAUAAGCUGUCAUAUUUCCAUUGACCUAUAAUAAGCUGGCGUAUCUCCCUUUUGCUUAGGAUUCUUGUACAACUGAUACACUUUCAGAUGCUAUGCUUUGCUUAUCACCUUUGUAGGAUAAAACUUGAAAAUGGAAAUUAAAAGAUUGUGUAUGAGAAUUGGGUUUUCUUAGUUACUCGUACUUGCUAUUUUUUACCUGAAAGUUUUAUUCAGCAAGAUAAUUUUUCUGAUCAAAUCCAGAAGAUAUGAUGACUAUGAACUGUAAGAGAAUAACCAGAAAAACAAGAAUCGGUCGGGUGGCAAGACUUCAAUGGGUGGGUUAAUAUGAACCAAUGAGAGAAUGCCACGUGUUUAAAAAAAUUGAGGAAACAAGUUUUAAAAUAUUGAGGAAACAAGUUUUAACGGUGGAAGGGUAAAUGUGGCCCGAAAAUGUAACGGUGGGGGUAUAUUUGUUAAAGAAUGCAAACGGAUGGUAAAUGUAGCUUAUUUUGAAUAGUACAAGGGCAAAUCUGACCUUUAACCGUUUAUAAAAUGACUACAUCACAAAACAAUUUCGAGUCAAAAGAGGCUGAGACCUCAAAUCCUGGAUUCUGCUUUUGAAAAUCUGAUAUGCACUACAGUAGGUCAUUUAGCAGGAAAAAACUGCAACUAAGACAGUUUGAGGCAUAAAACAAAAAUCUAAAAAAGAAAGAAGAAUUAAAGAAGCAUACCGCCAUCAUUACAGAGAAAUUUCAAGACCUCUCCAGCUGCAUCUGACUGCUCAACAUGAAAAAGAGAGGUUAGCAGAUAUACCACAAUAAAAAUCAAUAUGUUAGCAGAAAACGUUUUCAAGGAUGUACUUUAACCGCAAGUUCCGUCCCAAACUGAUCCACAAAGCCAAUAGUCUGUCCCACUUUAAUAACAUCACCCUGCACUCAAGUUCGAGGCAUGUAUAGAGUCAAUCAUCAAGUUAUAAUCCUAUGAAGUGCAGGUCAAGUUCAAUCCUUUUUUUCUUUGAUAAAGUAAUGUAAUUUUAUUAAUGUUUAGUACCAAGAACAUACCGUAAAAGUACAGAAGAUUAACUAGGUAAAGUUCAAUCCCACCAUAAGCUUGUUAGUAAACUGUAUUUGUAAAUAGUAAUUUC
rnacentral:lncRNA from 1 species